UGUGAAGGUGUCUGAAUCUUGGUGGUUA
rnacentral:piRNA from 1 species